AGAGUUUGAUCCUGGCUCAGGAUGAACGCUGGCGGCGUGCUUAACACAUGCAAGUCGAACGAACCUUCGGGUUAGUGGCGGACGGGUGAGUAACGCGUGAGAAUCUGCCCUCAGGAGGGGGAUAACGGCUGGAAACGGCCGCUAAUACCCCAUAUGCCGAGAGGUGAAAUGAAUUUCGCCUGAGGAUGAGCUCGCGUCUGAUUAGCUAGUUGGUGGGGUAAGAGCCUACCAAGGCAUCGACCAGUAGCUGGUCUGAGAGGAUGAUCAGCCACACUGGGACUGAGACACGGCCCAGACUCCUACGGGAGGCAGCAGUGGGGAAUUUUCCGCAAUGGGCGAAAGCCUGACGGAGCAACGCCGCGUGAGGGAUGAAGGCCUCUGGGCUGUAAACCUCUUUUAUCAAGGAAGAAGAUCUGACGGUACUUGAUGAAUAAGCCACGGCUAAUUCCGUGCCAGCAGCCGCGGUAAUACGGGAGUGGCAAGCGUUAUCCGGAAUUAUUGGGCGUAAAGCGUCCGCAGGCGGCCUGAUAAGUCUGUUGUCAAAGCGUGGAGCUUAACUCCAUUUCGGCAAUGGAAACUGUGAGGCUUGAGUGUGGUAGGGGCAGAGGGAAUUCCCGGUGUAGCGGUGAAAUGCGUAGAUAUCGGGAAGAACACCAGUGGCGAAGGCGCUCUGCUGGGCCAUAACUGACGCUCAUGGACGAAAGCCAGGGGAGCGAAAGGGAUUAGAUACCCCUGUAGUCCUGGCCGUAAACGAUGAACACUAGGUGUCGGGGGAAUCGACCCCCUCGGUGUCGUAGCCAACGCGUUAAGUGUUCCGCCUGGGGAGUACGCACGCAAGUGUGAAACUCAAAGGAAUUGACGGGGGCCCGCACAAGCGGUGGAGUAUGUGGUUUAAUUCGAUGCAACGCGAAGAACCUUACCAGGGUUUGACAUCCUGCGAAUCCCUUGGAAACUUGGGAGUGCCUUCGGGAGCGCAGAGACAGGUGGUGCAUGGCUGUCGUCAGCUCGUGUCGUGAGAUGUUGGGUUAAGUCCCGCAACGAGCGCAACCCACGUCUUUAGUUGCCAGCAUUGAGUUGGGCACUCUAGAGAGACCGCCGGUGAUAAACCGGAGGAAGGUGUGGAUGACGUCAAGUCAUCAUGCCCCUUACAUCCUGGGCUACACACGUACUACAAUGCUACGGACAAAGGGCAGCAAACUCGCGAGAGCUAGCAAAUCCCAUAAACCGUGGCUCAGUUCAGAUCGUAGGCUGCAACUCGCCUACGUGAAGGAGGAAUCGCUAGUAAUCGCAGGUCAGCAUACUGCGGUGAAUACGUUCCCGGGCCUUGUACACACCGCCCGUCGCACCAUGGAAGUUGGCCACGCCCGAAGCCGUUACUCCAACCCUUGUGGAGGAGGACGUCGAAGGUGGGGCUGAUGACUGGGGUGAAA
rnacentral:rRNA from 1 species